rnacentral:lncRNA from 1 species
GUUAUUUAGGGUGUUUGGUGGAGUUUCCAGAGCUGAUUCUCUACUAAAUCUAGUUUGGAGCUUUAUCAGAUAGUUUUUUCUAGAGAGAAAUGUUUCUCUGCUGAUUUCGUGAAGUGAUUCUCUAAAAUUAACUAAGAGCCCGAGAGAUGAAAAAGUAAGUAAUUCUCCAUCAUGAUUUUUGACAGUUUAUGCUAAAGAAUUAAAGAGAAACAUUUUCAACCAUAGAAUCACUUCUCUCAUAGAAUCAGUUCUCACAUAAAAUC